rnacentral:rRNA from 1 species
AGUGGCGGACGGGUGAGUAACACGUAGGAAUCUGCCCUAAAGAGGGGGACAACCCGAGGAAACUCGGGCUAAUACCGCAUAAUCUCUUUGGAGGAAAGGCUGGGGCAACCUGGCGCUUUAGGAGGAGCCUGCGUCCGAUUAGCUAGUUGGUGGGGUAAAAGCCUACCAAGGCGAUGAUCGGUAGCUGGUCUGAGAGGAUGAUCAGCCACACUGGGACUGAGACACGGCCCAGACUCCUACGGGAGGCAGCAGUGGGGAAUAUUGGACAAUGGGGGCAACCCUGAUCCAGCAAUGCCGCGUGUGUGAAGAAGGCCUUCGGGUUGUAAAGCACUUUAGGCGGGGAAGAAGAUAUGGAGUUUAAGAGAUGCCAUAUUUGACGGUACCCGCAGAAUAAGCACCGGCUAACUCUGUGCCAGCAGCCGCGGUAAUACAGAGGGUGCGAGCGUUAAUCGGAUUUACUGGGCGUAAAGGGCGCGUAGGUGGUUUGGUAAGUGAGAUGUGAAAUCCCUGGGCUUAACCUAGGAACUGCAUCUUA